rnacentral:miRNA from 2 species
GCUCACUCUCUUUCUGUCAUA